GAUGAGGAGGAAGUUAUCUCACCAAAAAAGAAGAAGAAGCAACAAGAAAAUGGCAGCACGUGUGAUAAGAAUGAGCAGCAGCCUGGUCCGUCAUCUCAGUCCACUCCAGGUCAGAAGCGGAGGUCCAACAGAGUCUCCUUCAGUUCACCUCUGAAGAAAGGAGAAAAGAAGGACAUUUCGUCGGGGGCCCUCUUCAAGUCCCAGCUUCCCGUGACCUGUGGAUCCCAGAGUGGGAUACUGAGUAGAGAAAGACUGGCAAAAGGGGAAAAGUGUAUCACAGUUGACAGAAAGUGGUUUACUCCC